rnacentral:tRNA from 1 species
CGGGCGGUAGUUUAGUGGUAGAGCCCCGCUUUGUAUGCGGGAAGACCUGAGUUAGAUUCCUGGCUGCUUAC